GGGAAUCUUGACAUUCCGGGAUGUGGCAAUUGAUUUCUCUCCAGAUGAGUGGGACUGCCUCGACUUUGCACAGAGGGCUUUGUACAGGGAAAUCAUGUUGGGGAACUACAGUAACAUGGUCUCUGUGGGUAUUUCAGUGUCAAAACCAGACCUGAUCAGCUCCCUUGAACAAAGCAAAGAGCCCUGGAAUGUGAACACAGGAAAGAAAGAAGGCAAUGAAAAAGCAUGAACAGAAACAAGAGAAGCAUUAUAUAA